GCCCUUACGUCCUGGGCUACACACGUGCUACAAUGGUAUAGACAAUGAGCAGCCACUUCGCGAGAAGGAGCGAAUCUAUAAACUAUAUCUCAGUUCGGAUCGGAGUCUGCAACUCGACUCCGUGAAGUCGGAAUCGCUAGUAAUCGUGAAUCAGAAUGUCACGGUGAAUACGUUCCCGGGCCUUGUACACACCGCCCGUCACACCAUGGGAGUGGAUUGCACCAGAAGUGGUUAGUCUAACCUUCGGGAGGACGAUCACCACGGUGUGGUUCAUGACUGGGGUGAAGUCGAAACAAGGUAGCCGUAGGGGAACC
rnacentral:rRNA from 1 species